GAAUGAUCUUCAGUGAUGGAGUGUUGAGGCCUUGUUCGCAGUCAUUGCCGAGCUGCUAUCAGUGACCUUUGCACCCACUCAGCUUUACAGCAGCUGUACAGACAGCGGUAGCCUCUACCCCAGUAGGCCUGUACUGACCGUAUCUGCUGAUGCUGCGUGGGAAGCUGGCUGAGGAAGGAAUGUUGAAAGAGGACAUCUGCUUGGGCACCAAGGCCACUACACAGCGCUCAGACACCUGGGAGACAAAGAUGAAAUGAGGCCUGACGAACAUGCCAUCCCCCCACCCACUUCACAAUCAUAAGGCUCUGAUGUUCGAAAGGCAUCAAGGU